CCCCAAUGUGAACGUUACCAAUCUGUUGCCUCGGCGGGAUUCUCUGCCCCGGGCGCGUCGCAGCCCCGGAUCCCAUGGCGCCCGCCGGAGGACCAACUCAAACUCUUUUUUCUCUCCGUCGCGGCUUCCGUCGCGGCUCUGUUUUACCUUUGCUCUGAGCCUUUCUCGGCGACCCUAGCGGGCGUCUCGAAAAUGAAUCAAAACUUUCAACAACGGAUCUCUUGGUUCUGGCAUCGAUGAAGAACGCAGCGAAAUGCGAUAAGUAAUGUGAAUUGCAGAAUUCAGUGAAUCAUCGAAUCUUUGAACGCACAUUGCGCCCGCCAGUAUUCUGGCGGGCAUGCCUGUCCGAGCGUCAUUUCAACCCUCGAACCCCUCCGGGGGGUCGGCGUUGGGGAUCGGCCCCUCACCGGGCCGCCCCCGAAAUACAGUGGCGGUCUCGCCGCAGCCUCUCCUGCGCAGUAGUUUGCACACUCGCACCGGGAGCGCGGCGCGGCCACAGCCGUAAAACACCCCAAACUCUGAAAUGUUGACCUCGGAUCAGGUAGGAAUACCCGCUGAACUUAAGCAUAUCA
rnacentral:rRNA from 1 species